rnacentral:rRNA from 1 species
AGCAAAACUUACUGGUUAAUACCUGGUGAGGUUGAGAGUACCUGAAGAAUAAGCACCGGCUAACUACGUGCCAGCAGCCGCGGUAAUACGUAGGGUGCAAGCGUUAAUCGGAAUUACUGGGCGUAAAGCGUGCGCAGGCGGACUUUUAAGCCAGAUGUGAAAGCCCCGAGCUUAACUUGGGAAUUGCGUUUGGAACUGGGAGUCUAGAGUCUGUCAGAGGGGGAUGGAAUUCCACGUGUAGCAGUGAAAUGCGUAGAGAUGUGGAGGAACCGAUGGCGAAGGCAGUCCCCUGGGAUAAGACUGACGCUCAUGCACGAAAGCGUGGGGAGCAAACAGGAUUAGAUACCCUGGUAGUCCACGCCCUAAACGAUGUCUACUAGUUGUUGGGGUAGCAAUACCUCAGUGACGCAGCUAACGCGUGAAGUAGACCGCCUGGGGAGUACGGUCGCAAGAUUAAAACUCAAAGGAAUUGAC